rnacentral:rRNA from 1 species
GACGAACGCUGGCGGCGUGCCUAAUACAUGCAAGUCGAGCGCAGGAAACUGACGGAACUCUUCGGAGGGAAGGCAGCGGAAUGAGCGGCGGACGGGUGAGUAACACGUAAGGAACCGGCCUCAAGGAUUGGGAUAACUCCGAGAAAUCGGAGCUAAUACCGGAUAGUUCAUCGGACCGCAUGGUCCGGUGAUGAAAGGCGCUCCGGCGUCACCUUGAGAUGGCCUUGCGGUGCAUUAGCUAGUUGGUGGGGUAACGGCCCACCAAGGCGACGAUGCAUAGCCGACCUGAGAGGGUGAUCGGCCACACUGGGACUGAGACGCGGCCCAGACUCCUACGGGAGGCAGCAGUAGGGAAUCUUCCACAAUGGACGAAAGUCUGAUGGAGCAACGCCGCGUGAGUGAUGAAGGUUUUCGGAUCGUAAAACUCUGUUGUAAGGGAAGAACACGUACGAGAGGAAAUGCUCGUACCUUGACGGUACCUUACGAGAAAGCCACGGCUAACUUCGUGCCAGCAGCCGCCGUAACAC